GGUCCCGCCUGCCCUGUGACUAUAUGUUUAACGGCCGCGGUAUUUUGACCGUGCGAAGGUAGCGCAAUCACUUGUCUUUUAAAUGGGGACCUGUAUGAAUGGCAUAACGAGGGCUUGACUGUCUCCUCUUUCAAGUCAAUGAAAUUGAUCUCCCCGUGCAGAAGCGGGGGUAAGCACAUAAGACGAGAAGACCCUAUGGAGCUUUAGACACUAAAGCAGAUCAGUAUAAACAUCCUUAACAACAGGGUACGAAUUUAACUGAGCUCUGCCCUAAUGUCUUUGGUUGGGGCGACCGCGGAGAAAUGAAAAACCCCCGCAAGGACCGAAUGUACCACAUUCACAACCAAGAGCGACAGCUCUAAUUAACAGAACUUCUGACCAAUAAGAUCCGGCAACGCCGAUCAAUGAACCGAGUUACCCUAGGGAUAACAGCGCAAUCUCCUCUUAGAGUCCAUAUCGACGAGGGGGUUUACGACCUCGAUGUUGGAUCAGGACAUCCUAAUGGUGCAGCCGCUAUUAAGGGUUUCGUUUGUUCAACGAUUAAAGUCCUACG
rnacentral:rRNA from 1 species